rnacentral:rRNA from 1 species
CGUGUAGGUGGUCAGGUAAGUCAGAUGUGAAAGCCUUCUGCUUAACAGAAGAAGUGCAUUUGAAACUGCUUGGCUAGAGUACGGGAGAGGAGAGUGGAAUUCCCGGUGUAGAGGUGAAAUUCGUAGAUAUCGGGAGGAACACCAGUGGCGAAGGCGGCUCUCUGGUCCGAUACUGACGCUGAGACGCGAAAGCGUGGGGAGCAAACAGGAUUAGAUACCCUGGUAGUCCACGCCGUAAACGAUGGGCACUAGGUGUAGGAGGUAUUGACCCCUUCUGUGCCGAAGCUAACGCAUUAAGUGCCCCGCCUGGGGAGUACGGCCGCAAGGCUAGA